rnacentral:lncRNA from 1 species
CCGUGGUGGUGCUCCGACCUGCUCCGCUUGGCCGCCGCCGCCGCCUCUUCCAUGGGCUGCUGCAGGGAGGGAGGAACCCUAGGUUAAUAGAGAAAAGGAGGGCACUCCGCAGAUCGAUCCAUCCACCAGGAAAACCUUGGAGAGAGGAUGCUCACCUGUCGAUCUAGAGAAGGGGGAGGAGGAGCUGCUUCGUCUUCCCGGCUCCGGCCAUCUCUGCUCUGCUGCUCCUCUCCGACCAGAAGGGGAGCGAGUUCACUUCGACUUUUUUUUUACACAAGAGCAAAUGCAAUGGGAAGUGGAGGUGCGGUAACU